UACACCUGGGAGUGGGUUGCAAAAGAAGUAGGUAGCUUAACCUUCGGGAGGGCGCUUACCACUUUGUGAUUCAUGACUGGGGUGAAGUCGUAACAAGGUAACCGUAGGGGAACCUGCGGUUGGAUCACCUCCUU
rnacentral:rRNA from 1 species